rnacentral:rRNA from 1 species
GAUGAACGCUGGCGGCGUGCCUAAUACAUGCAAGUCGAGCGAAGCGGGGACGGGUGAGUAACACGUAAGGAACCUCCGAUAAGCGGGGGACAACCUCCGGAAACCGGUGCUAAACCGGAUACUUAUCGAUGGCCUUGCGGUGCAUUAGCUAGUUGGUGGGGUAACGGCCUACCAAGGCAAUGAUGCAUAGCCGACCUGAGAGGGUGAUCGGCCACACUGGAACUGAGACACGGCCCAGACUCCUACGGGAGGCAGCAGUAGGGAAUCUUCCGCAAUGGGCGCAAGCCUGACGGAGCAACGCCGCGUGAGUGAAGAAGGUCUUCGGAUCGUAAAGCUCUGUUAUAAGAGAAGCGGUACCUUAUCAGAAAGCCACGGCUAACUACGUGCCAGCAGCCGCGGUAAUAC